rnacentral:sRNA from 1 species
CAGAAGGUGAGAGGGGAAAUUGAGGGGGGUUGUCACUGACCUGAUUGAGUGAGGGAUUUGGUGAGGAUGAGUGGGCUUUCCAUUGAUUCGAUUGAGUGAGGGAGGGGGAGAGAGAGGGCAGAGAGAAGAUGGCGGAAUUUAAGGAACAAGGCCAUGCUUGCAGAGACUCAACCAUUGCCUUCAGCUCAAUCUCUCUCGCAUAAAAGACGUUCUCUCUCUCCCUCCCUUUUUUUUGGUGAUAUUUUUUUUUUUGGGAUUUUUGAGAAAUUCGGUGCUGAAAAGAAAUGAUCUUGAUCUUAGUUAUAGUUGCAGCCACCAAGUUCCUACCAUAACACAGACCAAGUUGUAGCCACAACUCCAACAAAAGGCUUUCACGAUUAAGUUAAAAAAAAAAAAGGAGCCAUGAAGCUUUUGCCGUGAGAAAACCUUAGGCAUGAAAGCAAAGAAACUUUAUUGCUUCAGAUUGAAGUUCAUCCAAUCUUUCUUGAGAGAGGAGAGUUGCAAAGCUUGGGAGCAAUCUAUAGUCUAGAAAGCCGGAGGUGGAGCCUAGCUUCAAAGAGUUUGAAGGCCUAGGUUUUGGUGGUGUUGGCAUUUGUAUUCUUCAGAUGGAGAUGAGAAAAAGGAAAACUUCAGAAAGGCAGAGGGUUGAACUCCGCCUUUGGGUUGGAAACAAUUAUCAGAAAGUUAGAGAAAAUGAAGGUUCAGAGAGAAGAAGAGGAUUUUUAGUUUGAAGGGAUGAAGUUGUUUCACUGUUUAAGGUAUUAUAUUCAUUAUUUUGAUUCAACGAAUCUUAUUUUAAUUAUGUUCUUCUUAUUUAUGUUGGAAGAUGUUGAUUUUUAGUCGAUGUGGUUUUGUUCUAUUUUAUGAAAUUUGGUGUUCGAGUUUAGACUUGGAUGAAGUGCUAGAGCUCCUGACUAAAGAAAAUUAGCAAGGCUUGUUGAAAAUGAGGUAGGGGAAAUUCUCGGGGAACCCUUAUACAUAUAUAUUACUUGGCUUCUUAUAAAUAGUUGUGUGAUUUAUGUUAAUUGGUGCAAUUGCGUGACUACUUGAUAACAUGAUUCAAAUGCUUAUGAGUUUGCUUUUGGUUGAUAUUUCUUGAAGAAUAUUGUGAAUUUGAAAUGUCAUUAAAUAUUGUUUCAUAAUUAUCAUAUCAUGAACAAUAACUGUGUCAGACAUUGUGGA